UACAGAGGGUGCAAGCGUUAAUCGGAAUUACUGGGCGUAAAGCGCGCGUAGGUGGUUUGUUAAGUUGGAUGUGAAAUCCCCGGGCUCAACCUGGGAACUGCAUUCAAAACUGACAAGCUAGAGUAUGGUAGAGGGUGGUGGAAUUUCCUGGUGUAGCGGUGAAAUGCGUAGAUAUAGGAAGGAACACCAGUGGCGAAGGCGGCCAUCGUGGACCAAG
rnacentral:rRNA from 1 species